rnacentral:lncRNA from 1 species
AGGAGGAGGGAUGUGUGGGGCAGAAGUGGGAUCUGGGGGAUGUGUGGGGCAGGAGGAGGGAUGUGUGGGGCUGGAGGAGGGAUCUGUGGGGCAGAAAAGUGGGAUCUGGGGGAUGUGUGGGGCAGAAAAGUGGGAUCUGGGGGAUGUGUGGGGCUGGAGGAGGGACGUGUGGGGCUGGAGGAGGGAUCUGUGGGGCAGCCCCUACCCCUGUGCCCCACAGCCGUGGGCCGGCGGAGGCGGACGAGCUGCUGAAACGUGUGGGGUUCCUGUACGACGGCACCUACCGCUGGGUCAACCCACACCCGCACUGACCCACAGCUCUGCCCCAUAGAUCCUGCCCCAUAGAUCCCGCCCCAUAGAUCCCGCCCCACAGCCUCCCCCCCAUGUUACGCUCCCAGCCCCAUAGCGAUGGGGUCUUGUGGUGGGGGGUGGUGGUGGGGUGCCCCAUAGAUCCACCCCAUGUUACACUCCCUGCCCCAUAGCGAUGGGGUCUUGUGGGGUGGGGUGGCUAUGGGGUGCCCCAUAGAUCCCGCCCCAUAGAUCCACCCCACAGAUCCCGCCCCACAGCCUCCCCCCUGUGUUACACUCCCUGCCCCAUAGCAAUGGGGUCUUGUGGUGGGGGGUGGCUAUGGGGUGCCCCAUAGAUCCACCCCAUGUUACACUCCCAGCCCCAUAGCGAUGGGGUCCUGUGCUGCUGGGGAGAGGCUGUGGGGUGCCCCAUAGAUCCUGCCCCAUAGAUUCUGCCCCACAGCCUCCCCCCUGUGUUACACUCCCUGCCCCAUAGCGAUGGGGUCUUGU